rnacentral:tRNA from 1 species
CCCCGGGUGGCUCAGUGGGUAGAGCAUCUGACUCUUGAUUUCGGCUCAGGUCUUGAUCUCACGGUUCGUGAGUUCGAGCCUUGUCCUUGGGU